rnacentral:rRNA from 1 species
GGCACUGAGAUACGGGGCCAGACUCCUACGGGGAGGCAGCAGUGAGGAAUAUUGCGCAAGUGGGGGAAACCCUGACGCAGCAACGCCGCGUGUGGGAAGAAGGCCUUCGGGUCGUAAACCACUUUUGCACGGGAACGAAAAAAGGGAUAUCGAACAAAUACUCCCCGAUGACGGUACCGUGAGAAUAAGCCACGGCUAACUCUGUGCCAGCAGCCGCGGUAAGACAGAGGUGGCAAGCGUUGUUCGGUAAUUACUGGGCGUAAAGAGUCUGUAGGUGGUUUGUCAAGUCUUUGGUGAAAGGCCGUAGCUUAACUAUGGGAAUGCCAAAGAGACUGGCAGGCUGGAGGCUGGGAGAGGGAAGCGGAAUUUCUGGUGUAGCGGUGAAAUGCGUAGAUAUCAGAAGGAAGGCCGGUGGCGAAGGCGGCUUCCUGGAACAGUCCUGACACUGAGAGACGAAAGCGGUGGGGAGCAAACAGGAUUAGAUACCCUGGUAGUCCACGCCCUAAACGAUGGGUACUAAGUGUGGAGGGGUUAAACCCUC